CGCGCCGCCGUGACGUUUCGCCCGCACGUGACGUCACCGAUCGGUCUUCCGUUUACCUUACGUCCCCGUCGAACGGUUUAAAUGCCCCAAUCUUUCUCAUGGUUCCCAACUCGAUAGGUAGGCAGGUCGUAGGCAUAGGUCCCGAUAGGUCCCCGUAGGUCCAGGUUUGAUUCUGAGCCAUAGCCGCCCGGCUUCUUUGCAGGAUUUUCCGCUGCCGCCGUCGAUUCGUACGGGCGUCGUUUCCGCUCCCGCGGAUCUGUUUUCGUUUUCCGUCCGUCGCGUCCGAUUUUCGCCGCCGCCGUGUCUUAUCGACGGGAGUGUGUUGAUCCCGCUCGCGGUGUUUUCUUUUCUAUUCAUUUUCCGCCGUCCGUCAAGUCCGUUUUUUUCUUUUCGUUUCAAACUUUUUUUUUGUGAAAUCGUUUUCAUCGCUUCAAUCGUAUUAUUUAAUACAUGUUAUUACAUAUUCGAUUUGUUUUACCGAAAAUUAUUUAUCCGUUUUUCUUUACUCAUGUUGAUUUGAUGUGUAACGUUAUUGUUGAACGCUUACACACGGCUGUGAAACGAAGAAAACAUAAUGCGUUUAAAAUAUAGUUUGUUUUUUUAUCAGCGUUAAGUACGUUCAAUACGAUUUGUUUUGCCAAACGAUAUAGGGAGAUAGCUGUUGUUUGAUUUAUUUAUACUUUUUUUGAAUGGAAAGGAAUUGAAUUCAAAGGGUCUUCGGUGCUAACGAUACUGUUCAAAACGUUCACAGCUAUAAAACAACGAGUACUCGUUAUGAGUGUUACAACAUCAGUCGUUACACUUGGACGAAAGGAAAUUAAAACUUUUGUGAUGUAAUGUAAAUAAGAAAACCCGAUUGAUUUGAUGUGAAAUGCUGUAAUGAUAUUAUAAAAUGCACACACAGCUAUAAAAUAAUGAAGUAAACAUGGGAGAUGUCUGUUGUAUGUUUUCAUUAAACAUUUUCUUUGUUAAGGAAUAAUGCAGUUACUACUUCGGUACUAAUGAUUAACUAAUAAAAACAAACACAACUAUAAACUAAAGAAAACAUGGGAGAGAGCUGUUGAAUGUUUUCGUUGCACUUUAUUCUUUGGAAUGGAAUAGAAUUCAACGUGUUAUUGGUGCUAAUGAUAAUAUUCAAAUCAAACCCAGCUAUAAAAUAAAGAAAACUUGGUAUGUAUUUAUACAAUAUUUAACGCUCAAGUUCCUCUAUGAUAUAAAUGUCUUUGUAAAAUAUCUUAAACUAUAUAUUGUUUAUUUUGCUCAUAGUGGGUUGCAGAUUAAUGAAUUAACGAAUGCUCAAACACCAGUGUAGUACUGUUGUACCCAAGAGCUUGGUUAUUAUUACACUUUUCUCCUAAUAUUAUAAGAAAAAUCUUGGUAUAGUUUAUUUAUUUAAACCGUAUCAUACUGAUAUGACUUUAUAUAAUGAU